rnacentral:rRNA from 1 species
AACGAACGCUGGCGGCAGGCUUAACACAUGCAAGUCGAACGCCCCGCAAGGGGAGUGGCAGACGGGUGAGUAACGCGUGGGAAUCUACCCAGAUCUUCGGAACAACUGAGGGAAACUUCAGCUAAUACCGGACACGCCCUACGGGGGAAAGAUUUAUCGGAUCUGGAUGAGCCCGCGUUGGGUUAGCUAGUUGGUGGGGUAAUGGCCUACCAAGGCGACGAUCCAUAGCUGGUCUGAGAGGAUGAUCAGCCACACUGGGACUGAGACACGGCCCAGACUCCUACGGGAGGCAGCAGUGGGGAAUAUUGGACAAUGGGCGCAAGCCUGAUCCAGCCAUGCCGCGUGAGUGAUGAAGGCCCUAGGGUUGUAAAGCCUUUCGGCGGGAAGAUAAUGACGGUACCCGCAGAAGAAGCCCCGGCUAACUUCGUGCC